GAAGUUCGUAAAAGGCCAACCCUCCCUGGGCUCUUCUGGCUUCCGACCUUGCACGAUGUCUUUUUGAACUCCCUCGGCCGUCUGAGCUUCCACAAUGCCAUCCGGACUUCUCCAAUAAUGAGCUCUCCCAUUCAUCUACCGGGCUGCUCCAAACACUUUUCGAGCUUCUCCAACAGCAGGACGUCUAUAGUAACUAGACUCCAUCCAAGUUUCUAUGACGGUCGACCGCCUUCUGGAUUUCAUCCGAACUCUUACAAGAGCCGGAUCCCAGCCGAACUUCUAUUACGGAUGGAUUCCAGACGAAUUUCUACAACAGACGGGCUCCACCGGUC
rnacentral:lncRNA from 1 species